UGGGGGAUAUUGCACAAUGGGCGAAAGCCUGAUGCAGCGACGCCGCGGGGGGGAUGAAGGCCUUCGGGUUGUAAACUUCUUUUGCUCUGAACAAGGCAUGCCUUUGGGGUGUGUUGAGUGUAGGGGUUGAUUAGCGCCGGCUAACUACGUGCCAGCAGCCGCGGUAAUACGUAGGGCGCGAGCGUUGUCCGGAAUUAUUGGGCGUAAAGGGCUUGUAGGUGGCUGGUUGCGUCUGUCGUGAAAGCUCAUGGCUUAACUGUGGGUUUGCGGUGGGUACGGGCUGGCUUGAGUGCAGUAGGGGAGGCUGGAAUUCCUGGUGUAGCGGUGGAAUGCGCAGAUAUCAGGAGGAAUACCGGUGGCGAAGGCGGGUCUCUGGGCUGUUACUGACGCUGAGGGGCGAAAGCGUGGGGAGCGAACAGG
rnacentral:rRNA from 1 species